rnacentral:ncRNA from 1 species
GCGGUACCGGUUCACGGCCCGCCCCGCGCGAAGCGCGUUGGCAGGGGCCGACCCGGCGACC